UCUGUGCUGCUCACCUGAAUCAUCUCCCUAAAACAGGAGGGCAGCACAGGGCAGACACAGAUAUCUGUUCCCAGACACCAGAGUGUGAAAUACUCACAGAGCUUUGGAGAGACUAAAGACUGGGGGGUUUUUAUUUUUAGUUUUAUGUUUGGUCUAACAAAGAGCUCACUGUUUUUAAGAAUCUUACAAUUUCUGAGCUUAAGUCCGUAGGUCAGCCCAGGAAAUCCACUGGUGAUUUAUGUUCACUUUUCCAGACUCUACAGAGGAGAAAAACUCUAAGUAUGAAGGACAAAAGAGUCUAAAGCUACAGAGACACGUAAAGCAAGAUUUUAUCAUGCUUUUAAAACCUCUCAAAAUGAUCGUGAGAGAUAACAGACUACACAGACUUGCCAGACACCACUGCUGGCUUUGGGCCAUUUUCCAUGAGAUGAAGUUGUCCACAAGCAGGAAAGCAGCACACCAUUGCCUCUGACUACACAACUGCUAGUUUAGAUAAGCUUUGCUCUGAUAGAAAGUCAUCAAGCUUGUACUGUUUAAUUUUUUCCUUUCAAGACUGAGUGCAGCACAAGGAGCGAUGGAAGCAGGAGGAACUGAGGGUGGGGAAUAUGGUGACAAUUCUGGCAGUGAAUUCAGUACUGCCAGCGUUUUGAGGCUACAAUAAAGAUUCAAAAAUCUUCAUGUUUCAUGGUAUUUUGAUGCUUUGUUCCCAUGAUGUCUUUUCCUUGUAUGCUCUGACUAAUUAAA